UACGUAGGUGGCGAGCGUUGUCCGGAUUUACUGGGCGUAAAGAGCGCGCAGGCGGUCGUUCAAGGCGCGUGUGAAAGCCCCCGGCUCAACUGGGGAGGGUCACGCGAUACUGAUCGACUCGAAGGCAGGAGAGGGAAGUGGAAUUCCCGGUGUAGUGGUGAAAUGCGUAGAUAUCGGGAGGAACACCAGUGGCGAAGGCGACUUCCUGGCCUGUUCUUGACGCUGAGGCGCGAAAGCUAGGGGAGCAAACGGG
rnacentral:rRNA from 1 species